CGCUCCUGCUACAGGGGCGCGCGGGACCGUGAGAGCGCGGGGCCGGGCCGAGCCGGGACGAGGGAGGAUCGCGAGAACCAACACAGCCUGGGCGGGGCAGCGGCCGCGGGAGACACUGCUUCAAACUAAAAUUCGGGAAGGGCUGGGGCUGGGUAUCUAGGGAGGAGCAGUACCCAGAGCGGAGGCAGCCUCUGGCUCCGCCCGCGUCCUCUGGGCAGUCGAGGUGAGGCUUGAUGCGUGGGGCGCUGGGUGCUGGUGAGCCCUGCUGUUGUCGCUCACUAGUGUCAGGGGAACAGGCCGCCUGGAAGACAGGUACAGGGAGGGCGGAGCUGAACCCUCAGAAGCAGACUGGAAGGUGUCUCGCAGAUGCGGAGUCUUGCUGGAACGAGGGAAGAGGCAAGGAGAAAAUCCUGGCUGGGCAGGCAGAGGGGAACAGCAGAAAAGAGCCUUUGGCGGCGGAGCAGGGCAGCAGUAAGCACUUUUUAAAGUGGGAAGCCAAGUCCGGGUUUGAGCUGAAAAAGAAGAGAUCAAACUUUUUUUUUAAAAAAGGAUCACUUUACAGGUCAAAGUAGGGAGAAGAAUCAGGACAUUUUAAAAGCUAGAUGAAAGAGGAGGGCGGGGUGGUUGGGAGAAAUUCAUUGCAUUUAUAUUGUUUUAGUGUUACUGACAAAUCAGAUCUGAGUGCAAGAGAAAAGAGGAAGCCACGGAAACCCCAAGUCUGGGCUGAAUUCAAGGCAAUGCUCUCCAUAACUCAGGCAGACUGUACUGCAGUUCUUACAGGAUGGCACACACAACAAGGAGGCCUUGCUGCCUGCCUGGGGUGUACAGCCUUCCUCCACCAUGAUGUUUCUGCCUUCACACACAUCUAACUGGGCCAGCUGACGGUGGACUGAAACCUCCAGAACUGUGAGUCAAGAUAAUUCUUUCUUCCAUUUAGUUGUGUCUCACAAGUAUUUUGUCACAAUGAUGUCUAACACAGCCUUAAACUGACCUUUAACCAAGAUGCAAAUGGCGCUAGAACAGUUGAAUAAUCAUAUGUGAAAUAAAAGACCCAGAAUCCAGACCUUAUCCUAAAUGGAAAAAUUAAUCUAAAUAUAAACUCUAAAACUUAAAUUUCUAGUAGAAAAGAGAAAAAUGUGUGAUUCUGGGUUAAGAUUUUUUUUCCUUUGGUAUAUCUUUGAAAGCAUAAUCAUGAAUUAUAAAUUGGUAAGUUUGACUUCAUCGAAGUAGAGAAUUUCUGCUCAUUGAAAGAGACUGCUAAGAUAUCCACAAAUCACAUGUGAUAAGGACUGAAAGCCAGAACACACAGUCAUCCCUCAAGAAUUAUUAAGAAUUGGUUCCAGUUGGACCCCACCAAAGAAACCAAAAUCCAUUCAUGCUCAGGUCUCUUGUGUACAAUGCUGUGUUUAAUACUUUAUGUAAGGUAAGUGUUCUGAAAAUAGUUGUGCCACUUAGGGAAUAAUGACAUAUGUGCAUGUUUGGAGCAGACAUUUGUUUUCUAUAAUAUAUUUGAUCUGCAGUUGAUUGAUCCAGGGUUGUGGAAUCUGCCCAUACCUAUAGCCCACAAUAGAAAGAAUUUAAAAGCUCAAUAAUUGGAAAACAUUGUUGUAGUGUAGACAAUAGGUUUCACUAAAUAUGCACAAAUGUUCACAUAGCCCAAAAAAAGAUACCAAUAUCAUUGAUCACUAAGAAAAUAUUAAUUAAAACUAUGUAAAUUUCCCUCUUCUGUACAUUUUGUAUAAAUGACAUAAAAUAUGUGGCCUUCUAUGCUACUUUCCCUAGGUGUAAUGUUUCCAAGCACCUUCUUAUUUUCCUGGGUUCCUUUUUGUUGUUUAGUAAUAUUUCAUUGUGAUAAGUAAAUCACAUUUUGUUUAUGUAUCAGUUAGGUAUUUGGGUUGUUUCCCUUUAUUUGGCUAUUAUGAAUAAUGCUUUUAUGAACAUUCAUGCACAAAAUACCUGGAUUCUCUACAUGCCUGUGGGUAAAAUUACUGGGUCGUAUAGUAACUUUGUGUUUAUCAUUUUGAGAAAGUAUUAUUUUCAAAAAGAGAAAAGAUAGCAGUUUUUUGUUAAUAGCCCAAACCAAGAAGUUUAUCAGCAGAUGAAUGGACAUUUGAAUAAGUUGUUCUGUGUCUGUAUGUUUUAUGUCUAUUACUAGUUUAGCAGUUAAUUGCUAUGUGAUUGCUAAUACACUGAUGUCUGCAUUACUUUGCAAUAAAAAUGAUGAACUACAGGUAUAUGAAAUAGCAUGGAUGAGCCUCAAAAUAAUUUUUCUAUGCAAAUGAACCCAGACAUUCUGUACUAUUCAAGUCAUAAAAUUCCUGAGAAUUCAAACUGGUCCACAUUGAUAGCAGUAUGCAGCAUGGUAUGCUUGUACAUGUGUAGUUUAUUGAUCUUAAAAUUAUACCUCAUUAAUUUAAAAUGCCAAAGAAAACCAAAAAAAAAAAAAAAUGUAUAGAAGGGAAAGACACAAAACACUGGCCAGGCUAGAAACGAUUCCCUGGCCCAGUGCAGUCCCAGUACAGUCCCAGCAGGCAGCCAGCUCGCUCUGUAGCCCUGGAGUCAUGCUGAACGCUCCCAGGAGCACUGGCAGGAAAGCACACAAUUAUGUAUUUCAUGACUGUAAGCUCUGUUUUUUAAUUGAAUGUUCUGUGAUCUUUUUUUCACUUAAAUCUCCCUUUUAGACAAAUGGUGUGAGAAAUACUGUGUAUUCUACUAUAUAAUAAGAUUCCCAGUGUUUCAGAUAAAGGUGUUUGGAGCCAGUUGAAAUUGGAGCUGACUAAUUCCAACUUGAUUCUAUGCCCAAGAUAAAAUAUAGGUCACUUUUGUGUGUUAAAGGUAAUAAAAUAGGUGUUGUCGUUUAUACUACCGUAAUAACAAACUUAAUUAUUGUAUCAUAUUCAUCCUUAGAGUUUUUAAAAGGCGUUCCUAGGAACUUCCCUAAAAGGAAUGACCAUAAAGUUGAACAAAGGUCCAAUUUUCUAUAAGUCAGUGGUGGAUGGGGUGGUGCAGUGACCUUCCUUUCUAUGAAACUAAAUUUCACAGCCUCAUUACAGCUAUACACAGCCAGGGAGAUGUCGGAAAACUUUCAAGGGAAGCUUGUGGGAAAGGUCUUUCAAAAAAACCAGCUCAACCUGGAAGCAGACUUUCAUUCUUGCGCUUCCUUUUGCUGCCUAAAACAUGGAGCUUGAGCGUAGAAGACACAGAAGCCAAACAAAAGGCAAGACAUGCCUUCAACACGUAAGCCAUGACAGUGGAGAGGAAGGAUCCGUAGUCAUCUCAGGAGUGUGGCACCGUAUGGUGUCCUGGUCCAUUACAUCGAUUUUCACUUACAUAGAUACAACUAAUCGUGACUGACAGAAAAGUUUAAAGUAAUACUUUUAUAAAUACAAGUUUUAUGUAACAAAUUUUUGUAGUGCAUAUUUUGUGGUGGGAAUCUUGGACUCAUGGCCCUUGUGUAUCAUUGAAUUUGCAAAGUUACCAUCACUUUAUAAGAUCUGAGACUUUAUAGCUAAUAAUUAAAUUUUAUACUCCUGAUGCAACUUACGAUCAUAGUAACUUUUUUUUCAAAAUGACUCCAGAAAGCCACGUGUAUACACGAGGGGAAAAAACAUGCCAGUGAAGAGCUUCGCAACUUCCAACCAGGCGAACACAAGAGUACUUUCAUGAGCUAAUACUUACCUUGUAGGACGGGAACCUAUUUUGAGCUUCUACAUGAGUCACACUACAAUCCUGUUGUACUAGUUGGGGUUCUCCACAGGAACAGAGUCCCUAGUGCAUAUAAUUGGAAAGGGGUUAUUAGAUGGGCUCACAGCCUCCGAGGCUGCUUAGCCCUGCAGUGGCCAUCAGCAGACUGGACAUGUCCUGUGAAGUGAACAGAUUAACCUCGGGACUUCUCUUACCAGGAAGUCUAAUGGGAAGAUUAAUGCCUCCUGUGGCUAACACAAUUGAGAUUUAAGGUACUGCAUUAGUUCUGUUCCAUCUACAGCUCUAGUGUGAUGUGUUUUAGGAAGACAUCAAUCAACUGGCUUAAGUCACAGAACAUUAUAGCUCUCCUCCAUUAAUCUUGGGUGUCAGGAAUUUUGUCCCAGUGACAGGUAACUAAUGAAGGUCUCUGCACAUAGAAUAAAAAAGAUAACUAAAGUUAGACUUCUAAAAGUUUUAUUGAGAAAUAACAGGGGAAUAACAGAGGGAAGUCAAAGUAAGUAAAGGAAACUUAAGAUCCGGAGCUCUCUGAAGAGUUGUUGAUGCAAAUCCACCUGCAAACGCUAAGGGGCCUGGAGAGUUCACUGCCUUCACGACGGUCACCUCUGGAGAUGCCUUUGCCACAGCUUCCUGGGUGUCUCCCCAUCCAGUCUGACACCCAGCAUCAACCAUCACACCUGAAAAGUAGUGUUAUUUUUUAUUUUAUUAAAAAUGAAGCAGCAGGCCAACCUCCCUUCUACAGACUGCAUGGGUUGGCAAGUGUUCCUGCCCUGGACUAGCUCACAUCACGGCUACUGCCCUGGCCUCUUCUAUUUUGUUCUCAGUGUUUUCAUUUUUAAAGCGGAAUGUAAGAAUUCUUUACCAAUGUAUUUUUAUAUGAAAUUUUUGUACCGAAGUAUGAUUUAUGUUCAGAAAACCUAUGUUUUAAUAGUGGUCACAUGUAACCAGGUGGAAAAGAAGCACCUGAGAGCCAGUAGGGAAAUGUAGGUGGGACCCCUGAGAUCAGCAGAGAGAGCAGAGCAUUAAAAAAACAAAAAACAGGAUGCUGAGCUGUGAUGACCAGUGUCACUGUCUUAAAAGGACACUCAAGGAUGUGUUAGGAUGGCAGGGCUUCCAUUGGGUGACAAGUCUACAAAUAGCACCUUCAAUUUAAACUUUUAAUUAAAGUUCUUAAAAUUUAGGAAAUGGAGCUUGGAUAGUUGCAAGAUCACAAAAGUCCUGAAAAUGCAUUAGAAGAACCACAGUAUGGAGGAGCGGGAAGGCCAGGUCAUGAAGAAGGCACCAGAGGUCCCUUGUCUUAGUUACUUCUUGCUGGUUGCUGAGACAAAAUACCUGAUGCCCAAGGUUAGGAAAGGAAAGGUUUAUUUAUUACAGUUUUUGGAGGUUUCAGUCCAUACUCCGUUGGCUCCAAGUCAGGGUGGUAUGGUGGGAUUGCAGUUCAUGGCAGCUGCAAACAGCAAAGCAGAAACCAGCAAGAGAGCAAGACACACCUUCCUGCCAUUAUAUUAUAUGCUGGCUCCACCCCUAUAUGGGUGUAGCACUGACAACCAUCAAUCCAAGCUCUAGACAAUGAACCAAUCACAAAUGCAUAAUGCAAACGCAUGAGGGCUGGGGGCCACCUACAUAAAGCAUGACAUCCCUGCUGGUCCAGGGACAGAUACCAACAAUACCCAGCAUUGAAGCGAAGACCUGCUUUCAGAAGGCAGGAGUUUCAGGGGAGGUGGCUGCUGGCAGAGGCAAAGGCUUCCCCCACCACUUCGGUUUUGGGUUUUUAACCCAAGGACACCUCUCACAAGGGAGAAUAAUUGCACCCUCAGUAGCACCUCAAUUUGCUCUGGCUUUGCAGCACAGCAACAAGAAUGUUUGAUAUAUAAUAACAAUUUCAUCCAAAAAAUAAAGAUCUUUGCCAACCCCAA